CGGGGUGUAGCUCAGCUGGCAGAGCGCUUGGUUCGGGACCAAGAGGCCGUGCGUUCAAGUCGCAUCACUCCGACCA
rnacentral:tRNA from 1 species